rnacentral:lncRNA from 1 species
AAAGUAAAUCCAGCUCCGAGUUUCAGAAAUCACGCACGCAUACGUUUCGGUCUUUCUUGGCGAAGAGGCCGCCCAAGUUGAACCCGCCACCGCUGCCGCCGUCGCCGCUGCUGCUGGCAGGUUUCUUGCCGCCGGACGUGGUGACGUUUCAGUCUUUCUUGGCGAAGAGGCCGCCCAAGUUGAACCCGCCACCGCUGCCGCCGUCGUCGCUGCUGCUGGCAGGUUUCUUGCCGCCGGACGUGGUGCCGCCCCGCGGCUUGGCGCGCGAGGCGGCGGCCGGCGCGCCGUCGACCUUGUUGAGGAGCGGGUCCGUCUCGACGAGCUGGUCCUUCUUGAAGAUGGAGCUGAAGAUGAAGUCGACCAGGCUCUUCUCCUCCUUGGCCGGCGCCGGGCUGCCCCUG